AUGGCUUUUGCAGACCUGAAAAGCCCCGCUGGCCUCCAGGUGCUCAAUGAUUACCUGGAAGACAAGAGCUACAUCAAGGGGUAUGUGCCAUCACAAACAGAUGUGGCAGUAUUUAAAGCAGUGCCUGGCCCACUGCCUGCCGACUUGUGUCAUGCCCUACAUUGGUAUAAUCACAUCAAGUCUUACGAAAAGGAAAAGGCCAGCCUGCCAGGAGUGAAGAAAGCUUUGGGCAAGUAUGGUCCUGCAGAUGUGGAAGACACUACAGGAAGUGGAGCUACACAGAUAGUAAAGGUGAUGAUGACAUUAAGCUCUCUGGAUCUGAUGAGGAGGAGGAAAGUGAAGAAGCAAAGAAGCUAAGGGAAGAACGUCUUGCACAAUAUGAAUCAAAGAAAGCCAAAAAAAACCUGCACUUGUUUCCAAGUCUACCAUCUUACGAGAUGUGAAACCUUGGGAUGAUGAGGCAGAUAUGGCGAAAUUAGCGUCAGAAGCAUUCAAGCAGACGGCUUAGUCUGGGGCUCAUCUAAACUAGUUCCAGUGGGAUACGGAAUUAAGAAACUUCAAAUACAGUGUGUAGUUGAAGAUGAUAAAGUUGGAACAGAUAUGCUAAAGGAGCAGAUCACUGCAUUUGAGGACUAUGUGCAGUCCAUGGAUGUGGCUGCUUUCAACAAGAUCUAAAAUCCAUCCUGGAUCAUGACAUUUAAAUAAAAGCUUGAAAGAUUAAAAAAAAAAAAAAAAAAA